UUGACGUUUGUAAGAGUAAAGCCUCUGUGUAACGAAGUAUUUACAGUGAAGCUAAGACUCAUCACAAGAAGAUGAACAAGAGCUACUGAUUAAAGCAAAAAAAGACCCUGAGGAUUCACAGGAACAUCAGUUUUUCCCACAUUUAAACCACUAAAUGUAAGCCAUAAAGAAGCCCCUAAACUUACAAUCCACAGCACAACUGAGACUCACCCCGGACAGAAACAGGGACGCAACUGUGAGAGAUGUAAUUAACAGAGAAAUUACAAAAAGCUGUGUUUCCCAAGACCAAACUGCCUUAAUAAGCCUGAGAUUGGCGUCUGUGUUACUUUCUUUUUUUACAGUGAAACUGUGACGCACCAAAAUUGACAGGUGCUGCUUCAAGGGAUAACAAAGAGAUUAUACAAAAAUCAGUUACAUUUCAGUAUAAUACCAUUACAUUAGCCUGAGGGAAUCUCUUGUGUGACCUCGAUUUUCCACUGAAACUGAGACUCGCCACUUAAAGAUGAAUCGGUGCCAUUGUGAGAGACAUAACAAACUGAGAACUCAAAAGAAGGUCACUUCUUUUUGAGGUUUACAACCUGAAAGUAAUCCAGUGUGAGGCCUGUGUAUAAACUUACCAUUUACAAUGAAACUGAAACUCACCACAGACAGAUAUACAGCUCUCUGUAUAAAAAUAUAAUUUCUGUAUUUUUAGGUUAACACCAUAAAAGUAUGCCAGAGUGAAGCUUCUGUGUUAACUUGCAUUUCCAGUGAAACUCAGACUAACCACAGAUAUGCAGACAUGGAGUAAACCCGUGGUAUAGUUCUCCUUUCACAGUAAAACUGAGACUUGGCAGAAACAGAUGUGAAGUGUCACUUCAAGGGGGGAACUAAUAAAGACAUCACAAGAAAAUUAGAUCAUUUAUUAGGUUCAAACCUCUAAAUUAAACCAGAGUUGAGCCUCAGUGUUACUUUUACCAGUGAAGCUGAGACUUACCACAAACAGAACAGGCACCAAUCUGAGUUAAAACAGAAGCAUAACAAAAAAAUGUGUACCUUUUUCGUGUUUAUGAUUGUAAAAGUAUGCCAGAGUUGGACCUCUGCGUUCUUACUUUUUACAGUGAAACUGAGACUUGCCACAAACCGAUGAGCUUGAGAUACUGGAGGGCUGAAAAAACUGAGGAAAUUAUGUUUGCUUCACAUGUUCAACAUAUUAUUAAAAUGAUGAGUCUUGUUCCUGCUUCCUCUUAUGUGACCAAAAUCAUUGUUUAAGGUCAAAAUGCUUCUAAACUCCAUUUAAUAGGGUUAUAAAGCUUACUCCACAGUCAGUGUGUGUGACAAACAUCAACAUCAUGUUUAUAAAAAGCUCAUCAGUGUGAAACAGCUCCAUAUGUAUGGCUGUUACCGUGGCAACAUGUGAUUUCGGGAUGUGCUGUCUCCAUAGAUAUAAUGAUCUAGGUUCUUACAUACAUCUAGUGAUGCUUUUCUUGGACACAUCCUCAGUGAUAGUGCCUGAGCUCAUCGGGGGUUUCGGGUCUUUCAACUUCAGACCCCCUCACUCAGGUGACCCGACCGGGGUGAUCAGUUCCCGGCCCGUGUCCAAGAAGCACUCAACCACUGCUUAUCCCUCUGGAUCCACAGCCAUUGCGAGGCUCUCUCUGCAGCCUCAGAGGCUGUAGAGAUGGCUCUCCUCUUCCGUGCCCCUGUGAUGCCCAGGAGACUGUAGGCCUUGCAGAGUGAUUUCCCUGCAAAGCCUCUUCCCCCCACCUCAAUCGGUAGGCAUCGUGCACGCCACCCCCGUUUGCGGCACUCCUCCACCAGCUCUGCAUAUUUCUCUCUCUUUCUCUCACUUGCUUCUUCCAUUCUCUCCUCCCACGGCACUGUUAGCUCCAACAUGAUGACUUGCUUGGAUGUCUCUGAGACUAGGACGAUGUCUGGCCUAAGUCUGGUUUCCACAAUGUUUUCAGGGAAUUUCAGUUGUUUUCCCAGGUCCACCCUUAGCUGCCAGUCCUUCGCUGUUCCCAGGAGGCCUGACUGGGCUUUAGGUCGGGGAGGUGGUUGAUCUCCGGCUCUUACAAAGGAGAUUUCACGCCUUGAUGGUUGUAAGCGUUUGCUCUGGAAGAUGGCAGUGUUGAUGGACUCAGCAACCGCCUUCAGCACACGAUCAUGGCGCCAGCGAUAGCGGCCUUCACCAAGUGCUUUAGGACAGCUGCUGAGGAUGUGCUCCAGGGUUCCUCUUCCUUGGCACAAGGGACAUGCUGGAGUUCCAACCUUGCCCCAACAGAAGAGGUUCGAUGGGCUGGGCAGGACAUCAUAGACAGACUGAAUGAGGAAUUUAAUGCGGAGGGGUUCAGCCCUCCACAGCUCGUUCCACGAGAUUUUUCUGUCUGUGGCUUCCUCCCAUCUGGUCCAUGCGCCCUGUUGCCUCAAUCCCACCCACUGGCUUGCACGCUGCUCUUCAAUUCCGGCCCUCACCUCGAGCUGGACCUGGUCCCGCCUCUCCUUGCCCUUGAGCUUGUUGUACCGGGUUGUUGGAAUGGUUCCCAGUCCUGCACGGCCGGCAGCCACCGAUCCCACGAGGUCUCUGUGGCACAGCCGUGAUUCUGCCUGGUCCACAGCCUCCUUCGCUCUCCACUUUCUGCCAGUCCUCACCUCAAUUCCUGCUUGGGAAACCUUUGGGUCCUUGGAUUCCCUGUACUGGAGAACCUCCCUCGCUCUGGCAACCAUGAACUCCUCGGUGAGGCUGUUUAUGGGGAGAGUCAGCUUGUUCUUGUUGCCGUAAAGGGCGAUGCUGCUUAGGCUUCUAGGCAGACCCAACCAUCGUCGCAGGCGGCUGCUGACCCUCCUCUCAAACCCUUCCACAGUGGAGAUGGGAAACUCAUACACCAGCAAUGGCCACAGAAUCCUAGGCAGGAUGCCAUGCUGGUAUACCCACGCCUUGAAUUUCCCCGGAAGACCUGACUUGUCGACUGUGGUCAGCCAACUCUCCAGCUGUUCGUUGGUCGCCCUGAUGGAAGCGGCAUCCUUUAGGGAGCAGUCAAAGGUUUUUCUGAGGCUCUUCACGGGCUUCUCUGUGACUGAUGGAAUGUGGGUACCCCCUAGAGAGAAGUGGAACCGGUCAGUCACCUUCCCUCUCUUCAGGACUAGAGACCUGGAUUUUUCAGGCUUGAAGCGCAUCCGGGCCCAGGUGGUCAGCCUCUCCAAGCCCUGGAGAAUCCAUCUGCAUCCUGGGACUGACACUGUUGUUACUGUCAGGUCGUCCAUAAAUGCUCUGAUGGGGGGCUGACGGAUUCCGGACUUGGAUUUGGGGCCUCUGCACUCCGACUCGGCAGACUUGACCAGCAUGUUCAUGGCCAGGGCAAAGAGUAUCACUGAAAUGGUACAUCCAGUGAUGAUCCCUUUCUCCAGUCGAUGCCGUCCAGAUGUAACUGUGCCGGAGGUGAACCUCAAGUUGAAGCUGUUGUAAUAGUCCAUGAUGAGGACUUUGAUGUUGCCAGGGACAUGGUGCCUCUCCAAUGCCACCUCCACUAGCUUGUGAGGUAUAGAGCCGUACGCAUUGGCUAGGUCUAGCCAUAGUACAGCUAGGUCUCCUUUCCCCUCUCGAGCAUCCCUGAUCAAUUGUGUCACCACGCCACUGUGUUCAAGGCAACCCGGAACCCCUGGGAUUCCCCCUUUUUGCACCGAGGGGUCGAUGUACUGGUUCUUCAGGAGGUAGUCUGACAGCCGGUGGGAAAGAAUACUGAAAAAUAUCUUCCCCUCGACGUUAAGCAGUGAGAUGGUUCUAAACUGCUCGAUGGUGGUUGCCUUCUCUUCCUUUGGAACCCAUACCCCUUCUGCAGAUCUCCAUUGUUGGGCAACUGUCCCCCUCCUCCAGAUCACCCUCAGGAUCUUCCACAGACGGUGCAGGAGCUUGGGGCAUCUCUUGUACACUAGGUAAGGUACACCAUUGGGUCCAGGUGCCGAGUUGUUUCUAGCAGCCUUGACCACCGUCUGGACUUCUUUCCAGCUGGGAACCUUGGUGUUUAAUUCAGUGGCUGGUACAGGUGGGUUGAUUAGAGCUCUGCAUUCACCUAGGUCCUCCUCCCGGGCUGCAUCACUGUAGGUGUCGUGAAGGUAGGUGUCUACCUCCUCCUUUGAGCAUGUGAGAUGGCCGCUGCGCUUCUGGCCUAGCAGCUGUUUGGUGAACCCAAAAGGAUUCGCUAAGAAUGCAGCGCGUCUUUUGGCUCUCUCCCUAGCCCGCCUUCUAUGCCACUCUGCUCGGCGGAGGGUCAGCAGCCUCCUCCUAAGGACACCACGUAGUUCUGCCAGUCCUGGCUUCUCAUCCUCACUUGCACCCUUGAACUGCUUCUUCAGGUCUCGGAGUUCCUGUCGUAGCUGUGAGAUCUUUUCUGCCCUGCGGUUCUUGUAGUACUGGUUUGUGGUAGCACGCUUCUCCAUUGAUCCGAAUCUUUCAGUGGCGAUGCUGAUGAUCAUGGUAGCCAUUGUUUGGAGUUUCCCGUCUGGCCCUCCUUUCAAGGUAGCUUCCAGGAUUCCAUCCACGUCAUCAUCGAAUUGCUGCCACUCACUCCCUUUGCUGGCUGGGGGCCACUUAACCCGCCGGUGGUGUUGUGGGAUGACUGGCGUUUGGGCUUCCAGGGCACGGAGGUUCUGGGCACUGUGGGUUGACUCCUGGCCCGGGUCCUCCUGCGUCUCACCAAGGACCUCUGGAGCACAUGGGUUCUGGGUGCUGCGGGUUUCUUCCCGCCCCGGUUCCUCCUGCGUCUCUUUGAGGUUGAUCCUUGAGCGCUGCUCUGGCUGCCUAUUCACCAAACAGCCCAUCUUGGUCUGGUGGAUCUUCAGACCCUUUGGGUUUUUGCAGCUCUUUCCGCAUACACAUACAGCAUUCGUUGUCGAUUGUCCGUUUGCGCUGGUCGUUGCCUGGUUGUCCGUCCGUUCGGGGUGCUCAUUCUCCCCCCCUCUCGGGCUCCCCUGGGGGUAUGUUUCUUUAGGGCUUUUUGUAGCUGAGUUUGGGUUCUUCCUCA